UAUCUCUGUAGAGUCUGCAUAUCAAUAAGCGGAGGAAAAGAAACUAACAAGGAUUCCCUUAGUAACGGCGAGUGAAGCGGGAAGAGCUCAAAUUUGAAAUCUUCAAGGUUCUACCUUGACGAAUUGUAGUUUAAAGAAGUGUUUUCUGUUAGAUGAGUAGCAAAAGUUCCUUGGAAUGGGACAUCAUAGAGGGUGAGAAUCCCGUAUUUGGUUAUUCAUUCUAGCUUUGUGAUACACUUUCAAAGAGUCGGAUUGUUUGGGAAUGCAGUCCAAAAUGGGUGGUAAAUUUCAUCUAAAGCUAAAUAUUGGCGAGAGACCGAUAGCGAACAAGUACCGUGAGGGAAAGAUGAAAAGAACUUUGAAAAGAGAGUUAAACAGUACGUGAAAUUGUCAAAAGGGAAGCGUUUGACACCAGUGUUGUUUUUCCGAAAAUCAAUUACGAAUGGCUUGAUUUUGUGUUGUAUUGACCUUAUCAGCUUUCUGCACUUUUUUCGAGUCUUUCUUAAUGCACUUUUCGGUUAACAAGUCAACAUCAAUUUCUUUUGUUGUAAAAGAGUAUUCGGAAGGUGGCUUUCUUUUCGGAGAAAGUGUUUAUAGCCCUAUACUUCUACAAUCGGAGAGAUUGAGGUCUGCAGCGUAGAUCCUUCGGGGUUAGAUACACUUGUGCUAAGUUGUAGCUUUUCAUAGACAACUUGUUGACUAUGUUUAGUCAUGCGGCUUACUCGCUUGUGCUAUUUUACCUACGCUUAGGAUGUUGACUGAUAUGUAGUCGU
rnacentral:rRNA from 1 species